rfam:Flavobacteria bacterium GWF1_32_7 gwf1_scaffold_30, whole genome shotgun sequence.
UUGUAGCCCCGAUUGUAGUGAAAAUCCAUUUUGUAAAAGUUAAAAAACUUUUGCAAAAUUAUUGUAACGGAAAGCGGGAAACGAC